GGCCAUUUAAAAGAAAAAACCCAUCAUUGUUCAUGCUGGGUUUUGCAAAGAUACAAGGGAACAUAAUACACAAUGUCUUUCGUAGGCCAUUGUUUUUUAAUAUACUGUAUUACUCUGUACACAGGUAACUCAACGAAAAAACACCUACAGUUGAACAUUGGCUCUUGAAAAAUUGUAAACAUUUGGUUCCACGAUUGGAUUCUAUUAGAUCCAAAAUGCAUUGGCUCAGUGGUGUGAAAAAGGAAGCACAACGGGCAAGUUACCACUUUUCCAGUCAUUCCAGUAGAUGGUGGUUAACAUGAGUUUUAGAUGUGCAAUGUUCCUGACUGCAACGAAGAAACGGCCUUCUGAAGAUUCCUGUUUUUAAGCACCUUCCCCACCUGUCCACCCGUUUACAUCCCUGUAGUGGCCAGUAAAGCUCGGGGUCGCUCUCUAGGUGCCGAUUUUGCUGUAAUGGAGUCCUGAAGAAUGCAUGGAGCCGACAUGAAUUCUCAGCAGGACUGCUGUGGGCUUGAAUGAAGGUAGAUAUGUUGGAUCCCAGUUUACAGUACUCUGUAAGUGUGAUUCUGUAUAAGACAGGUCUUCACUGGUACGUGAAUGGCUAAUGUACCAAAAUGAACUUUGAGGCAGUUCUCUAGCCUAGACCCAGAAAGCAGUCCUGGAGUAAAAGUCCUCCAACGUAUCUGUGUUGGUGAUCCUGAAGAAAAAUUACACUCACACCUUUGUCACUUGAAAAUGCUAUUUCUUUUAAAAUAAUUAUGGAGAUAAUUUUCUGUCAACAGGUUAUAUUAAAAAAAAAUCUGUUUAAAUGUUGAAAAUAUAUUUAUUGAUGAGACUAUGAGCAUUGUCACAAUAUAUUGGCUUUAUUCUAGCAUCAUUCUCACACCUUGUCUGAGAAUAUUAGAAAUACAGACUUAAUAUAGUUAACUCAGUCUCCUGAUUACAGUGGAGGUGGGUUAUAGAUUUUUGUAACAAACCUUCAGCAAUGCAUUGAAACAUGCCUUUUAACCUAAUGAUUGAUUGGAUGGAUAUAUUUGAAAAAAAAAUAUUUUAGCACAUUUGCAAAUCUUAAAUCAUGUAUCAAUUUUAUGCCUUUGAAUGCUUGUUCAUAUCAUGUUUGGGGGGGGGUUGUUUCAUUUAUUGACAUUUAGAAAAAUACAGAAGGAUCUGGUGUCAUAUUAACAGCAGAAGCUCUGGAACUUUAAUAUGUCUAGAGGGAAUUGCUACCCACUUAGUGUUACAGCUGGGGUUCCAUCAAGAGGCAGUACUCCCUUUUAAAAGGGUCCUGUAACCUGUUUUCCUGAGCCAUGUUGUAAUAAAUCUCUAGCAGAUGAUGCAGGGUGUUCAGAUCCAUGUGAAUCCUUGAGGAAUGAAUCCAUGGCUGUAAGCACAAGCCACCCUGGCACUCUGCGAAGGUUGUCCUCAUACCUGAAGAUAGGAGGUUAAAGCAGAAUCUCACUAGCAGCCCCCAAUGGCCAUUCUCUGGUAACAACUUUCUCCAACACAUCUACUUCCCCUCCUCCAGAUUCAGGUUCCUCCUUCCACAAAAUUCCAUGUUACUGGAGGUCAUCAACCUUCGGAGUUCUCACCAAUAAUAGAGUUUCAGAUAACUGCAGUCCGUUUGUCCAGUUGAAUCCUCAUGUUAAUUAAAAGUCAGUUUCAGAGCCCCCCAAAAUUUAUAUCAAUGCAAGUAUGGUUUCCUUUUUAUCUUUGCCCCUAAAAAAAUGAACAUCUCUGCCCUUAGUAUUAAAUUUGUAUAUAUUUAGGUAGGACGGUGCUUAUAUAUGAUCAUGUUUCCAGUUCCAAAUUUGCCCAUACUACUAAUGUGGUUUAUUUGACAGUUAUAUUGCUGUUAAUAUAUCAUUUCCAUAUCAAAAAUCCCCAGACAGCUGCUUGCUUAUACUGAAUCAAUGUAUAAGUUAACUUACCAAUCUAGUCUCAACUCAGUAUACUUAAAAUAGGGAAACAAGUAGGUGGUGACUUAGUUGUUUGGAGGUUAAUGUUACUGCUCACUUGACUGUCAAUUUUAAAUAUUUCUUUUACUAAUACAACUAAAAUUAUGUACAUAUAAUCAACGAGGCCUGUAUAGAAAAGGUAUUCCUAAUGAUUUAAAACCCUAAGGGUACUGUAGUGUAGCAGCAGUAUGUGGAAGAAAUAUUUGGCUAAAGAAUUUUAAAAGAUGAGAAUUGCUCACUUAAUGUAUAUUUUACAGGCUUACUGAGUCUGUGAGCAGCAUAGAAACAAUCAUUCUUUAGUUCUUCACUGCAGAACUGAGACAUUUCUAUAAACGCACAGCUGUAACUGUUGAUCAGGAGUAAGUAUGGAGGAGUAUUUCCACAGUGAAAAAUACGGGGGCUUCUCUUACUAUAUGGACACACAGAAAAUUUAUUACUCUGUAUAAUGAGGGAGGGAAAAGAAGCCUUGUUUCUACAAAGCUGAAAUAUGUAGCAGUAUUUGUUAACUCAAGGCAUGACCUCUCUCUGUCAUAAAAUGUGUUAGAUUUGAAAAGCAUACUUUGGCCAUAGCAGACACUAAGAAUUAAAACUCUUCUGUCAGUGGAACAAAAAUGAAUGGGCAGCACUUUCUCUGUUUGAAAUGGGACCAGUAUACAGUUAAUACAUUCAAAUUUAUACAUUCCCUAAGACUGUUUUUAAAUUGCAUUCAUUGUGUAUAUAAGAAAAGCCUUUUCUUUCACUAAAUACAAGGUUUUCUUUUUAAACCUUUAUAAUUUUUUUUUAAACCUCUAUGACAUCAACCUGUAAAGUGCUCAUGGGUUACAGGCCUUAUCAGGGAGUUGAAAUUUAUAUACAUAAUACCAAAUUAUUUGUAAAAAGUCUUUUUGAACAGCUAUAAAAUGUUUAAAAACUGUGGCAGAUGCAGUUAUCACACAUCCACUUGAUAGUGAAAGCAGAAACCCAACAAGUUUUACCUAAUUCUUGCACUGAAUUUAAAUAAUAUAAAGUUAAGUUAAAUGUGCAUUUUAAACAGAAUUUAUUUCUCAUUUAUUGGUUAGCAUAGAACAAUGCUUAGUGUUAGAGAGUUGAUCACAAGAUUGGUUUUAGAAGGAAGACGGUAAGAAAGCAGAAGCACCUUACUGGGGAGCAUGUUGCAUUCAUUUAGUGCUACUGAACAAUUCAGUAGUGAUUUCUGAACUUUGCUGCAAAGUGCUCUUUAUUUAAAGCACAUAAAAAGAGUCUCUGCUUAAUUGCUUUGUAAAGUGAAGCAAUGGUAUUUUUUAUCCUAUAAAUAUAGUCUAAUUUAAAAGUUUUUCCUACAAAAUGAGUUUAUAUUGCCGCCUAAACUAUCAUCUAUGUAAACAAAGGAUUUUUUAAAAGGCGAGAGAGGGAGUCUGGAUUGUGAGAGUGUGUGUGUGUGUGUGUGUUUAAUGUUUGUUCAUUGAAUUAUUUCAGAGAUAUGUUCAUUCUAAACAUUUCUGUUUUACCCACAGUAAAUGUACAGCUUGAUAGUGGAGGGAUUUAAUUGACUGAAUUCCAAAUCCGUAAGUGUCCAAACACACGAAGCGCACCACUGUGAGGUGCGUGUGCAUAAAGCGCUUCUGGGGCUGACGCACUAAACAUGUUACCAACGCUAUACUGACUCUUGAAGCAGCUUGUUGUGAGAGUAAGGAGGAAGUUUGGGGUUUUCUGGUCAGGUGUGACUAAGAGAGGCUCCAAUUGGUGAGUUCAGGAAAGUCUCUGGAAAGUGAUUUGAGAUGUAUAGAAAAGGUAUGGGUGUUGGUUAAAGAGUUCAGUUUUAAGAAGGGAAGUUUUGUUUUUUAAACUUGCAUGUUCUAUGGUUAACUAUCAACAAGUUAUUCUAGCUUUUCCCAAUACUAAUAAUAUUGGUUUUAAGAAUUGUCCAUAAUCACAAGAUGACGUUAUCCCUUCAUUUGUGACCAAAGAAGGGUAGACAGUACAACCCAUGCAGGUGACUUGCUACUUCCUCAACUUGGACAGGAUCCCCACUGCGCCAUUGAAUUUCUUACUGUACUGUAUGUCUUGCCAAGUGUGAAACCAUAAUAUAUAAUUUAUGAAGAACUGAAGGCUACCAAUCCUUUUGCAUGAAUAAAAAGCCCAUUUGGGCUCAUGAAACUGACAUGUCUUUUAGCCAUUCCGGUUAAAUGAAAAUUUUAGUGGCAAACCAGUUCACCACUUACUAGCUUUGUGCAACAUUACAACGGCAGAGGCAGAACACUAGCACCUUGUGCUUGGCUUUCAGGACGGCUUUAACACCGUUACACUAAGGUGGACACUGUGCAAAACGUAUUGUAAAUGGCAGCUGCUGCAGAUUGACAGGACUUAAGUAUGCUCAGUUAACAUUCUAAAGUAUUAAAAGCACAGAGGAAAAAACUAAGCAUUUACAGCAAUACUACGAGGUCUUUGAUAAUGCUCUGACUGUUGCCUUUUGCUCUUUAGUGCAACUUUCUGCAUUGUAAUGACUGUGUUGCUUUGUAUUUCAUGUUUUUUACACUCAUGACUUCAGAGUUAAGUACUUGUACACCAAGUAUUGCAAUCACCUUUCUCUUCUUGUACAUGCAAUGUAACAACAUACAGUUUUGGUGCUUAACAAUAUUCUUUUUUUCUUUAAUAAAAGAUAUUUAUUGAGUUAAGCUCAUUUUGUUUGUUUAAAAUUACAGUGGUGGUAUAUAAUGUCACUUCCUUUCUAGUAAGAAGGAGCAAGCUAUACAUUUGUUUUUACAUGAUGAGCAGGGUUCAGACUCUCCACCUCUGUAUCUCUGCCUCUUCCUGACCACUAUUUGUAAGAAAAUACAGUUUAGGAAUGUUUUUAGCAGUCAGUUUGUGAUCAUCUAAGUUGGGGAUGAAAUUAAAAGACGCUUACUCCUUGGAAGGAAAGUUAAUGACCAACCUAGAUAGCAUAUUGAAAAGCAG
rnacentral:lncRNA from 1 species